GACGAACGCUGGCGGCGUGCCUAACACAUGCAAGUCGAACGGAGAUUGCGGAGGAAGCUUAGCGAAUCUGCGAUCUUAGUGGCGGACGGGUGAGUAACGCGUGGGCAACCUACCUGUAAGAGGGGGAUAACACUGGGAAACUGGUGCUAAUACCGCAUAAGCUAACGAAGGCGCAUGCUUUUGUUAGUAAAGGUGGCCUCUGGAACAAGCUACCGCUUACAGAUGGGCCCGCGUCUGAUUAGCUAGUUGGUAGGGUAACGGCCUACCAAGGCGACGAUCAGUAGCCGGCCUGAGAGGGUGUACGGCCACACUGGAACUGAGACACGGUCCAGACUCCUACGGGAGGCAGCAGUGGGGAAUAUUGCGCAAUGGGGGAAACCCUGACGCAGCGACGCCGCGUGAGCGACGAAGGCCUUCGGGUUGUAAAGCUCUGUUCUAAGGACGAAGGACCUCUCUGUGAAUAAUGGAGAGGGGUGACGGUACCUUAGGAGAAAGCCCCGGCCUAACGUACGUGCC
rnacentral:rRNA from 1 species